UUUGUUUUUUUGGCCCAAGUCGAACCCACCCCCUCUGCUUAAGCGUGUGGAGGUUUACAAGUCACAGCUUGUCGUUUUACAGCUUUUCACCGAGGUUUGAGGGGACACCCAGCGUACGAAUCCCACCGGACAACAUGCCAGUCAUCUCUCAGCCUCGGGUUGUCUGACGGACGGGGUGGAAAACUGAAAGGGCCUCCAGCUGCAUCACAGUUUGAGAGGCAAGAAACUGAACCCCAGACUGCUCCUGAUGUGCUGGUCGGCUCCCUGCAUGGCAGCCGCCGUCAUCUGUGUGUGAAUGUAUGAAUGAAUUACUGAAAGUCGCUGUAAAAUGUAAAUGGAAUGGAAACAAAUAUAAAUGCUGUAAACUUUACUGUGUUGCAUCUGUUCUGGUGGCUCGCUGCCUCUCAGGAAGCCGUCACCCAUAGAAAUACACAACAAUUAGCCUGAGAGUCAAACAGGCAGUGAAACUGGAUGGAUAAAAGUAUGAAUGUUUGAAUGCUAUGUAGUCUGAUUAAACAUUUGAACAUGA